AAUGAACGUUGGCGGCGUGGAUUAGGCAUGCAAGUCGAGCGCGAUAUGUAGCAAUACAUGGAGAGCGGCGAAAGGGAGAGUAAUACGUAGGCAUCUACCCUCGGGUCUGGGAUAGCAGCGGGAAACUGCUGGUAAUACCAGAUAACGUCUCCGGACCAAAGGUGUGAUUCCACCUGAGGAGGAGCCUACGGCCUAUUAGCUGGUUGGUAGGGUAACGGCCUACCAAGGCAAAGAUGGGUAUGGGGUGUGAGAGCAUGCCCCCACGCACUGGGACUGAGACCCUGCCCAGAAACCUACGGGUGGCUGCAGUCGAGAAUCUUCGGCAAUGGGCGAAAGCCUGACCGAGCGACGCCGCGUGCGGGAUGAAGGCCUUCGGGUUGUAAACCGCUGUCGUAGUGGAGGAAAUGUAGGAGAGUUAUCUCUUUUACUUGACUAAUACUAGGAGGAAGGACCGGCUAAUCUCGUGCCAGCCGCCGCCGUAAUAC
rnacentral:rRNA from 1 species